ACCUCCGUGGUGUAGUGGUAGAACAUGCAUCCUUGGAUAGGAUGGACGAGGGUUCGAUUCCCGCCUGAGGGC